AAAAGGAAGAAAAUAACACAUCCCAUUCUGAAACCAAGAGUUGCUAGUUCUGAAAGCAAAUGCUACAAAUUUCAGGAUAAUAGGUUCACUGUAUUUGAACUGAAACCUGUAAAGUCUGAAAACUGCAGAGAUAAUAGAGGUAUAGAGUAUAAGCAUUUUCCAGCAGCCUUUCACAAUACAUUUCUUGGAAAGAGUUUGGCUUUUAAAUGAAUUUAGAAAACAAAUAUAAAAAUACACUAACUACACCAUACCCAAAAACCUUUUCAAGUUUGACUGUAACACCAUAUACAACACCUAAAAAUAGUAGCAAUAAAUACUGAAUGCAAACACUUUGCAUAAUGCAGUACUGGGUAUUAAACUACCAAGGAUACAGAACCUAUUUUUCAUUUGAAAAAGUCAGAACAAAUUAUCUAUCUGAAAAUAAAGUAGAUCAUUAUAACUGCCUUGUAGAAAAUGAAGUUCUAUAUCAUUUAAAUUAGUUAAUCGGUAAGAGGCAAUUACAUGUGGGAUGGCUUUACUGUAGGAUAAUAAUUUGUUUCAGAACAUUAAGUCACUAGGCUAUUUCUGAUACUUACAAAUCCACAAUCAGUGGUAUUUAGAAGUCUCUCUGGUAACACAUUAAGGAUAAAACACCAGACAUUGUCCUAAUGUCCUAUCAUUAAGACUACGACUAGAAAUUUCCUUUAGAAAGAAUCUCUAAAAUGAAAUCUUAAAGAGAAUGCUUCUGUUUCAAAGUACACUUUUAAUCUAACAUUUUACAAUAAUAUCUUUUUGUAAAGGAAGGCAAAAGCUGCCAAAUAUGACAAGUAGCCCUCUCUUGUCCACGGUUUCGCUGGCCAUGGUUUCAGUUACCUGAGGUCAACUGUAGUCCAGAAGUCGAAGAUCCACCUUCUGACAUACUGUCAGGUCAACAGGAACCUAACACUACAUCACAAUGCCUACAUUGGCCUCAUAUCCUCUCUCACACAGGUAUUUUAUCAUCUCACAUCAUCACAAGAAAGAGAAGAGGGAGUACAGUACAAUAAGUGAACGCCAGCAUGGGAAAAUGAUAUAAAUAUAUGAACCAACAAUAAUGUAGAUUAUGAGGUCCAGUUCACAAAGCUGCUUUCACCAGUAACUCUGAUGGUCACCUGGUAUCUCUACCAAUCACUACGAAGGCAUCUUGGUGCAGAUUCACGGCUGCUUUCACACUGAUGUCCAUCAACACUCUCGGCAUC